CCUACGGGAGGCAGCAGUGAGGAAUAUUGGUCAAUGGACGAGAGUCUGAACCAGCCAAGUAGCGUGAAGGAUGACUGCCCUAUGGGUUGUAAACUUCUUUUAUAUGGGAAUAAAACGUUCCACGUGUGGGAUUUUGUAUGUACCAUAUGAAUAAGGAUCGGCUAACUCCGUGCCAGCAGCCGCGGUAAUACGGAGGCUCCGAGCGUUAUCCGGAUUUAUUGGGUUUAAAGGGAGCGUAGGUGGAUUGUUAAGUCAGUUGUGAAAGUUUGCGGCGCAACCGUAAAAUUGCAGUUGAAACUGGCAGUCUUGAGUACAGUAGAGGUGGGCGGAAUUCGUGGUGUAGCGGUGAAAUGCUUAGAUAUCACGAAGAACUCCGAUUGCGAAGGCAGUUCACUGGACUGCAACUGACACUGAGGCUCGAAAGUGUGGGUAUCAAACAGGAUUAGAUACCCUAGUAGUC
rnacentral:rRNA from 1 species